AGUGGCGGACGGGUGAGUAACGCGUGAGCAACCUACCCAUAAGAGGGGGAUAACAGUUGGAAACGACUGCUAAUACCGCAUAAGCUGGUUGGUACCCAUGUACUGAUUAGUAAAGAUGGCCUCUGAAUAUGCUAUCACUUAUGGAUGGGCUCGCGUCUGAUUAGCUAGUUGGCAGGGUAACGGCCUACCAAGGCGACGAUCAGUAGCCGGCCUGAGAGGGUGGACGGCCACACUGGGACUGAGACACGGCCCAGACUCCUACGGGAGGCAGCAGUGGGGAAUAUUGCGCAAUGGGGGAAACCCUGACGCAGCGACGCCGCGUGAGCGAAGAAGGCCUUAGGGUUGUAAAGCUCUGUUUUCAGGAAAGAAUGUCGCAGGUAAUAAUACGAUCUGCGAAUGACGGUACCUGAAGAGGAAGCCCCGGCUAACUACGUGCCAGCAGCCGCGGUAAGACGUAGGGGGCGAGCGUUGUCCGGAAUUACUGGGCGUAAAGAGCACGUAGGCGGGACUUUAAGUCAGGUGUGAAAGACCGGGGCUCAACCUCGGGGUUGCACUUGAAACUGGAGUUCUUGAGGGCAGGAGAGGAAAGCAGAAUUCCUGGUGUAGCGGUGAAAUGCGUAGAAAUCAGGAGGAAUACCAGUGGCGAAGGCGGCUUUCUGGACUGACCCUGACGCUGAGGUGCGAAAGCGUGGGUAGCAAACAGGAUUAGAUACCCUGGUAGUCCACGCUGUAAACGAUGGAUACUAGGUGUGGGAGGUAUCGACCCCUUCCGUGCCGCAGCUAACGCAAUAA
rnacentral:rRNA from 1 species